rnacentral:rRNA from 1 species
AUUGAACGCUGGCGGCAUGCCUUACACAUGCAAGUCGAACGGCAGCACGAGAGCAAUCCUGGUGGCGAGUGGCGAACGGGUGAGUAAUAUAUCGGAACGUGCCCAGUCGUGGGGGAUAACGUAGCGAAAGCUACGCUAAUACCGCAUACGAUCUAUGGAUGAAAGCGGGGGAUCGCAAGACCUCGCGCGAUUGGAGCGGCCGAUAUCAGAUUAGGUAGUUGGUGAGGUAAAGGCUCACAAGCCGACGAUCUGUAGCGUGGUCUGAGAGGACGACA